UCGUAGUCGCUGAGCCGCGUCAACAACAUCCGGACCUCCCUCAUCAACGCGCAGAAAGGUACCCAAUCAGCCGCCACCUACUUUGCUCACAUGCGUGGCCUCGCCGACGAACUGGCCGCGGCGGGCAAGCCGAUCCAGGAUGAUGAGCUCAUCUCCUAUAUCCUCCAUGGGCAGGAUCUGGAGUACCAGCCCCUGGUCUCGGCUCUCGACGCCCGCGUCUCCCCCGCCUCCCUCGACGAGAUCUUCGCCAUGCUCAACAACUUCGACCAGCGCAUGGCGCAGUUCCACGGUGCGGGCGGCUCCUCCUUCAAAUCGUCCGCCAACGCUGCAACCCGUGGACGUGGCGGUGGCCAUUCCCGCGGCUCUUCUCGCGGGAGGGGACGCUCCAGUGGCAGCAGCAACAACGGUGGGUGCUUCAACAACAAGACUAGCUCCGGUCGAUCUCGUCCGGACGUGCCUCGCUGCCAGAUAUGUGGUAAGCAGGGACACAUAGCAAAAGACUGCUGGUACCGCUAUGAUGAGGACGAGGACGAUUCUCAGGACGAUGACAAGGUUGCUGCAGCGGCCGACGGCUCCUACGGCAUUGACACCAACUAG
rnacentral:rRNA from 1 species